rnacentral:rRNA from 1 species
UGACGGUACCUAACCAGAAAGCCACGGCUAACUACGUGCCAGCAGCCGCGGUAAUACGUAGGUGGCAAGCGUUAUCCGGAAUUAUUGGGCGUAAAGCGCGCGCAGGUGGUUUCUUAAGUCUGAUGUGAAAGCCCACGGCUCAACCGUGGAGGGUCAUUGGAAACUGGGAGACUUGAGUGCAGAAGAGGAAAGUGGAAUUCCAUGUGUAGCGGUGAAAUGCGUAGAGAUAUGGAGGAACACCAGUGGCGAAGGCGACUUUCUGGUCUGUAACUGACACUGAGGCGCGAAAGCGUGGGGAGCAAACAGGAUUAGAUACCCUGGUAGUCCACGCCGUAAACGAUGAGUGCUAAGUGUUAGAGGGUUUCCGUCCUUUAGUGCUGAAGUUAA